GUGAACGCUGGCGGUAGGCCUAACACAUGCAAGUCGAGCGGCAGCACAGUAAGAGCUUGCUCUUACGGGUGGCGAGUGGCGGACGGGUGAGGAAUACAUCGGAAUCUACUUUUUCGUGGGGGAUAACGUAGGGAAACUUACGCUAAUACCGCAUACGACCUACGGGUGAAAGCAGGGGAUCUUCGGACCUUGCGCGAUUGAAUGAGCCGAUGUCGGAUUAGCUAGUUGGCGGGGUAAAGGCCCACCAAGGCGACGAUCCGUAGCUGGUCUGAGAGGAUGAUCAGCCACACUGGAACUGAGACACGGUCCAGACUCCUACGGGAGGCAGCAGUGGGGAAUAUUGGACAAUGGGCGCAAGCCUGAUCCAGCAUACCGCGUGGGUGAAGAAGGCCUUCGGGUUGUAAAGCCCUUUUGUUGGGAAAGAAAAGCAGCAGGUUAAUACCCCGCUGUUCUGACGGUACCCAAAGAAUAAGCACCGGCUAACUUCGUG
rnacentral:rRNA from 1 species